GCUCAGCUGCAACUCCACCUCUCUUGAUGACUUGAGAACUGUCAAAGCUGGGCCCCUUUGUCCUGUGUUUGGGUCAGCCAGAGGUUUCUUUUCCCCACAGCUUUCCUCCUUGUGCUCCAGCAUAAGAAUAAGGCCUCGUUCCUGUGCAAAGGAAGACGCUCUGUCUUUUUCCACUGACAGAAAGCACUAGAACCCAUGAAGGCCACUGGCAGACUUGGUGCCUGGAGAGGCUCCUUCCUGAUUCAGAGAUGGGCACGUUUCUGCUAUAUUCUCACCUGAUAGUAUUUUUCUCGGGCCUCAGUUGUGUUGUUCUGUUUUGUUUUGUUUUUGUUUUGUUUUUUUCUGGAGACAGAGUCUUUCUCAGAUUGGCCUUGAACUCGAAAUCCUCCUGCCUCAGGUUCCUAAAUAGCAGGGACUCAAAGUCCUUGCCGCCAUGGCUGGCUCCUGGGACCUCUUUUUUAAGGACAGUGGUCCCAGUCACAGGGGCAGAGCCUCCCGAAUUACAUCCUAAAGAUUCUACCUUCUAAUGCUGUCAUGCUGCAGUUAGGAUUUCAACAUACAAAUGCUGAAGGGACACAAAUCUUCAGGCCAUAGCUACUAAUAACUAUAAUGCAAACCAUGUUCACAUAUCCCUUUCCUCUAGGAAGGAAACUUCAGGAUGUAUUUAUUCAUUUCUACAACUUAGUGCUCAGAAAACUGGAUGGCAUCUAAUAGAAGCUCAACGUACUUAGUGAGAGAAUUUUUCUUGAGGAAGACAACAUUCUUGCUCCAUCACAGCCCAUCCUUCUUUCCUUUGCUGUUGGUCUCCCCCACCAGUGGGGAUCAGACAGCAUCAGACCACACAGCGUGGAUGAGGCUCCUAAUUUUACACAAGGACAACUCUGGGUAUAUCGUAAUGACUUCAGAAGAGGAAAGAGUCCCUAUUCGAAAAGAGAAGAACAGAAAGGAGCUAUUGUGUUGGACUUCUUUGUUUCUGUGAGUUACAUGUUUGGUAAUUUUAGCAGUUUUAAUCAUUCACGUCCCUGUGUCUGCCUUGGACCCAGCAUUUGAUUCAAAACAGCUAUGUAUGAUAAACAGGGUGUAUGACCUUUGAUUUAUAGAUGAGUGACUGAAACUCAAAAUAAAUCUCUUGCCUAAGGUGAGAUAGCAAUAAAUGGCAGAUGAAUUUUAAACAAGGAAUAAUGAUCAUUUUCUAAGCAUUUGUGUUUUAGAUGAGUCAAUUAUGUCUAAAUAAAUAUUUUGAAAUAUUAUGAUAAGUACUAACCGGGGAUCAAAUCAAAGAGCAGACCUUAAGUCACAUCCCCCAAACAGCCCACACCAGGCCUUUAGUGGAAACCUGGAUAGACAGUCCAAGACCUUUGCAAUCUUGUUUCUAAUAUUGCAAGGGGGCUGCCAAAGCAGGCAUCAUGGUCCAGAAUAUGGAGAGAGCAAUAAAAGUACUUCAUUCUAAUAGAGGAAUUUUCCAAAAACGUUAGUAGUAAUAUGAAAUAUAUUACUCUCCUGCUCAAAAAGCAGCUGAGAGGCACACACAGCAUCCUUAUAGGCAGCCUUCUACUGUUUCCUACUGUGAGAGCUUGAAUCUGGAAUGCUCCAUACAUUAAAGGCUUGGUAUCCAACCUGGUGCUACUGAGAGAUGAUGCAGCCUUGAAGAGGUGUGGCCUAGUGGGAGGUUUUAGGUCAUAGAAUGACACAGUGGGACAUCAGCCCUUUCCUCUUCUCUUUGUUCCCUGGCUGCCAUAGAGUGCAUAACUUCUUCCACCACAUGCUCUGUCUUAAUCACUUU
ensembl:lincRNA